AUCGAUGAAGAACGCAGCGAAAUGCGAUAAGUAAUGUGAAUUGCAGAAUUCAGUGAAUCAUCGAAUCUUUGAACGCACAUUGCGCCCUCUGGUAUUCCGGGGGGCAUGCCUGUUCGAGCGUCAUUACAACCCUCAAGCUCUGCUUGGUGUUGGGCUCGCCCUUUGGGGCCUGCCUCAAAAUCAGUGGCGGCUCCGUCCGGUCUCAAGCGCAGUAAUACUCGUCGCUUGUUGGAUUCGGUCGGCGGCUUGCCAGCAACCCCCAUUUUUACAAGGUUGACCUCGGAUCAGGUAGGGAUACCCGCUGAACUUAAGCAUAUCAAUAAGCGGAGGAAAAGAAACCAACAGGGAUUGCCUCAGUAACGGCGAGUGAAGCGGCAACAGCUCAAAUUUGAAAGCUGGUACUUUUAGUGCCCGCGUUGUAAUUUGUAGAGGAUGUUUCGGGUGCGGCGCCGGUCUAAGUUCUUUGGAACAAGACGUCAUAGAGGGUGAGAAUCCCGUAUGUGACUGGUUGCCUGUGCCUAUGUGAAACUCCUUCGACGAGUCGAGUAGUUUGGGAAUGCUGCUCAAAAUGGGAGGUGUAUUUCUUCUAAAGCUAAAUAUUGGCCAGAGACCGAUAGCGCACAAGUAGAGUGAUCGAAAGAUGAAAAGCACUUUGGAAAGAGAGUUAAACAGUACGUGAAAUUGUUGAAAGGGAAGCGCUUGCAAUCAGACUUGCGCGGCGUCGAUCAGCCUGGGUUCUCCCUGGUGUACUCGGCGCCGCUCAGGCCAGCAUCAGUUUCGGCGGUGGGAUAAAGGCUUAGGGAACGUGGGUUGCUUCGGUGACCGUUAUAGCCCUAGGUGCAAUGCCGCCUGUCGGGACUGAGGACCGCGCUUCGGCUAGGAUGCUGGCGUAAUGGUUGUAAGCGACCCGUCUUGAAACACGG
rnacentral:rRNA from 1 species